rnacentral:rRNA from 1 species
UGGGGAAUUUUGGACAAUGGGCGAAAGCCUGAUCCAGCAAUGCCGCGUGUGUGAAGAAGGCCUUCGGGUUGUAAAGCACUUUUGUCCGGAAAGAAAUCCUUGGCUCUAAUACAGUCGGGGGAUGACGGUACCGGAAGAGUAAGCACCGGCUAACUACGUGCCAGCAGCCGCGGUAAUACGUAGGGUGCAAGCGUUAUCGGAAUUACUGGGCGUAAAGCGUGCGCAGGCGGUUUGCUAAGACCGAUGUGAAAUCCCCGGGCUCAACCUGGGAACUGCAUUGGUGACUGGCAGGCUAGAGUAUGGCAGAGGGGGGUAGAAUUCCACGUGUAGCAGUGAAAUGCGUAGAGUGUGGAGGAAUACCGAUGGCGAAGGCAGCCCCCUGGGCCAAUACUGACGCUCAUGCACGAAAGCGUGGGGAGCAAAACAGGAUUAGAUACCCUGGUAGUCCACGCCCUAAAACGAUNUCAACUAGUUGUUGGGGGAUUCAUUUCCUUAGUAACGUAGCUAACGCGUGAA